AGUUUAUAUGAUUUUUAAUCGAAUGUUGUAUUUAUAAAGAGUUGGCAAAACAAAGACAUAUUUGUUAAAUGUGGAAAUUACUUUAUUGUUUUUGGAUAAAUACCCUAACACCCACCACAAAAAGAAGAGAAAUUCUGCCAGGAUGACAGCUAAUGACAGAACCAGAAAUGAGAUUCAGAUAGAGACACAAUACCUCUAAAUUCCUGAAGAAGACGCUACUCCUUGGGGUUAAAUUGAUAAUGAUUGGCUCAGUCAUUGUCUGGGAGCAGUCCAUAGGAAGUGGACUAUUGGUGGGAACACAGUGAUGAUGUCAAAAUUCAGAAGCUGGGGUUCUCAGGUUUUGCUUUGUGGCUACCACAAGCCUGGAAAGCCUUCUUCUGAAGAAAGAGAUGUAUGAAUCAAAUACAUUCAAAAGCUAUUGCUCCAAGGAGUAUUAUAAUAAUUUCUUUCACUGCCCUAACAUAAUCUUCCGAUAAACUCGUAAGAAAGAGAUUAAGGCACAGACAUCAGAGUCCAAGUCUUGCUGUGAGGACACAGGGAGAAGACAGCCAUCUACAAAACAAGGAUAGAGCCCCACAAUAAAAACCACCCUGCAGCUACCUUGAUCUUGAACUUCUAAUCUCUAGAAUGAUCCACUAUGCUUUAUUAUCCAUAUCUACAUAUCCUUGUGGCUGCUACUCCAGCCUUCCUG